UACGUAGGGGGCAAGCGUUGUCCGGAAUCAUUGGGCGUAAAGAGCUCGUAGGCGGUUUGUCGCGUCUGCUGUGAAAACUCGGGGCUUAACCCCGGGCCUGCAGUGGGUACGGGCAGACUAGAGUGCGGUAGGGGAGACUGGAAUUCCUGGUGUAGCGGUGAAAUGCGCAGAUAUCAGGAGGAACACCGGUGGCGAAGGCGGGUCUCUGGGCCGUAACUGACGCUGAGGAGCGAAAGCGUGGGGAGCGAGCAGG
rnacentral:rRNA from 1 species